UCUUUCAGCAGGGAAGAAGCGAAAGUGACGGUACCUGCAGAAGAAGCGCCGGCUAACUACGUGCCAGCAGCCGCGGUAAUACGUAGGGCGCAAGCGUUGUCCGGAAUUAUUGGGCGUAAAGAGCUCGUAGGCGGCUUGUCACGUCGGUUGUGAAAGCCCGGGGCUUAACCCCGGGUCUGCAGUCGAUACGGGCAGGCUAGAGUGUGGUAGGGGAGAUCGGAAUUCCUGGUGUAGCGGUGAAAUGCGCAGAUAUCAGGAGGAACACCGGUGGCGAAGGCGGAUCUCUGGGCCAUUACUGACGCUGAGGAGCGAAAGCGUGGGGAGCGAACAGGAUUAGAUACCCUGGUAGUCCACGCCGUAAACGGUGGGAACUAGGUGUUGGCGACAUUCCACGUCGUCGGUGCCGCA
rnacentral:rRNA from 1 species